rnacentral:rRNA from 1 species
CCUACGGGAGGCAGCAGUAGGGAAUUUUCCACAAUGGGCGAAAGCCUGAUGGAGCAACGCCGCGUGCAGGAUGAAGGUUCUAGGAUUGUAAACUGCUUUUAUCUGUGACGAAUAUGACGGUAGCAGAUGAAUAAGGAUCGGCUAACUCCGUGCCAGCAGCCGCGGUCAUACGGAGGAUCCAAGCGUUAUCCGGAAUUACUGGGCGUAAAGAGUUGCGUAGGUGGCAUUGUAAGUCGGUAGUGAAAGCGUGUGGCUCAACCAUAUACACAUUAUCGAAACUGCAAAGCUAGAGGAUGAGAGAGGUUAUUGGAAUUCCCAGUGUAGGAGUGAAAUCCGUAGAUAUUGGGAGGAACACCGAUGGCGUAGGCAGAUAACUGGCUCAUUCCUGACACUAAGGCACGAAAGCGUGGGGAGCAAACGGGAUUAGAUACCCCAGUAGUCC